UCUAGACCAGCAGCAGGGGGGAAUCCUGCUCGAGCUGCAGCCAGGGGCUCAGUCAGCACAAGCACAGAGAGCUGAAGGCCCAGCACAAUACUUGCUAAGUGAGGACUACCUUAUCCUGCAGCCGUUUGCGACUCGUCCUGUUUCGUGCCUAUAUACAGACGCUGAAUUAUUUAACAGUCAAUAUGUGCGGCUGCCGCCUCAGAGAAGGAACGAAAGGGUUCUCCGAGGUGCAACUGAGAGGGUGGGCUGACACCAGAGGACCGCUAAAGUUGGAUGAUAUUUCUCUUUUCAGUUUUAUUUUAAGCUCAAUGACAGACUUACAAAAAUAUAUGAAUAUAUUGCAAAAAGGUUGUGCUAAAAAUAAAAUCCUGCCAAACUCGUUUGGAAGUGUUAGAAUAGCUGUGCAAAUUAAAAUUCACACUGAAUUCUAAAACAGGGCAAACUGGAAAUUGAACUUGAGAAAUUGAAGACCUGGCCAAGUUCUGAAAAACAAUCUACUGAAAACUCACAAAGGAAGAAAAAAAAAGACUACAAAGACAUUCAGCCUGAGGUCACCUUCAACAUGGAUUUGGAAUCCGCAGGAUGUUUACUCUGUUACCUGGCUUAAGAAGCAACUCAACACAAUGUCCUUAAUAGCUUCAACCUCUACGUAACAAAAAAAAAUUUGGCUGACUGGCUGUCAUCACUGCCGCUAAGAGGAAGGUCGCUCAGCUCUGGAGGUCUCCACAUUCCCUUCCUGUGGAAUCAGCAGGAGCUAUCCGACGACAGGGACAUGGAAGGGACUGUCCAAGGAUGGAGAGCAGCAGAAAGGAUGGAAUAAUAUGGGAUUGUUUUUCUAUGUUAUAUUGCUCUUUUGUUCAGAUUCUUCCAAAAAUUAAGUCUCACGCUUAAAGCAACUUAAAGAGGUUUUGGAGAUUGCAAAAACAUAAUAAACACAAUG